rnacentral:rRNA from 1 species
UACGUAGGUGACCAGCGUUGUCCGGAUUUACUGGGCGUAAAGAGCGCGCAGGCGGUCGUUCAAGUCGAGUGUGAAAGCCCCCGGCUCAACCGGGGAGGGUCGUUGGUGACUGUCGCGCUUGAAGGCAGCAGGGGUGAGUGGAAUUCCCGGUGUAGUGGUGAAAUGCGUAGAGAUCCGGAGGAACACCAAAGGCGAAGGCAGUGUCCUGGGGAGUACCUGACGCUCAGGUGCGAAAGCCAGGGGAGCGAACGGG